rnacentral:rRNA from 1 species
CCUACCUGGUUGAUCCUGCCAGUAGUCAUAUGCUUGUUUUCAAAGACUAAGCCAUGCAUGUCUAAGUCCAAGUUGUGUGUGUCGGGCGCAAGCUCUCAUACACGGCGAAACCGCGGACGGCUCAUUAAAUCAGUCGUGGUCCUCAUGGGCUAGACAGUUAUCUUACUUGGAUAACUGUGGUAAUUCCAGUGCUAAUACAUGCAACUAUGAAAUCCCGAAUUGCUCGUCGUGUUUGUGCAUUCGUGUACGGCGCGGCUUCUCGCUACGACGGAUGCUUUUAUUAGACCAAACCGCUGAGAGAGUAGUGCAAUCAAGCGGGCGUCGUUCCGUAAAUGUGCGCGUUUCGGCGCGUGGAGCGUGCGUUCGUUGUGCCUCUCGUAGACUCGUGUUAUGGUGACUCUGGAUAACACUUUGACAAGCGCACGUACCUAUUGAUUUGGGACGGCGCUGCCACUUUCGAGUGUCUGCCUUAUCAGCUAUGAGAUCGUUCGUUAUGUGCUAGCGAUGGCUUUGACGGGUAACGGAGAAUCAGGGUUUGAUUCCGGAGAGGCAGCCUGAGAAACGGCUACCACGUCCAAGGACGGCAGCAGGCACGCAAAUUACCCAAUCCCAGCACCUGGGGGAGGUAGUGACGAAAUCUAACGAUGCGGGCGCCCCUUCUGGGGCCCCGCAAUCGGAAUGAGCAUUUUCUUUCCAAACACCCUGUUGAGAACCUACUGAAGGGCAAGUCUGGUGCCAGCAGCCGCGGUAAUUCCAGCUUCAGCAGCAUAUACUAAAGUUGCUGCGGUUAAAAGGCCCGCAGUUGAAUGUCAGUAUCAAGUGUAGCGAUGGUGGACGUUGGAGUGUGGGAGCGUGAGCCCGCAUGCCGGUGUCGUGCUUCGUCGUUUCGGCGGUGUUCGCGGUGUCCGUGUGUGCGCGGUGAGCCUCCCCACUUAUAACUCCCGUCCGUAACAAGCCUCCUCUCUUGCGUACAAAGUGAAAUCUAUCGGUGGAAACGCGAUUGAGGUGCCAUUCGUGAGGUGCUAUUCGGACGUGUGUGUGUGCGUGUUUCUCUGGGGUGUCGUUUCGGCGGUGUUUUGGGGUGCAUGUGUGUGCGCGCGCUUUGGGUUCACUUUGCGUUGGCGUUAAUAUCUCUUUCGCAUAUGAGAAUCUGGGUUUCAAAGUCACCUUGAGUAAAUCAGAGUGCUCAACAGCAGUCGUAAGGAAUGUGCGGCUCACGCCGUACGUUCUGCGAUGAAUGUCUUUAUUGACAGACAGUCUUGGUUUUGCAUGGUAUGUCGAAAGACGCUGUAAUAUACAAAUAUUCCCUGUUGGUAACGAGUCUGGUGCGGGCUCGCGCACUAAUGGCAUGCAUGCUCACGAAGCGUUUGGCGUUCGCGUCUGCGUCUAGUGGUUUGUGUGUGUGUCGUACAUGCGCGACACAUGAGACCAACAAGUACGGAAUGAUUAAAAGGCACGGUCGAGGGCAUUGGUAUUGCGAGGCGAGAGGUGAAAUUCUAUGACCCCCGCAAGACCCCCUGAAGCGAAAGCGUCUGCCAAGGACGUUUUCAUUAAUCAUGAACGAAAGUUAGAGGAUCGAAGGCGAUCAGAUACCGCCCUAGUUCUAACCCUAAACGAUACCAACCAUCAAUCCGCGCGUAGCACCCUUUCUAACGGGCUCGGCGGGCAGCUCCCCACUCACGGGAAACCAGAGUCUCUGGGUUCCGGGGGGAGUCUGGUUGCAAAGCUGAAACUUAAAGGAAUUGACGGAAAGGCACCACCAGGCGUGGACGCUGCGGCUUAAUUUGACUCAACACGGGCCAUCUCACCAGGCCAGCACUCUUGUACGAUUGACAGAUUGAGAGUUCUUUCUCGAUUCAGUGGAUGGUGGUGCAUGGCCGUUCUUAGUUGGUGGAGUGAUCUGUCUGGUUAAUUCCGAUAACGAACGAGACUCUCCCCUGCUAACUAGACGGUUGGAUCUUGCGUCUGGAGAGUUGUGAGGUAUGCGAGUGCGCUCGUGCCCGUGUCUUUUCUGUGCUUUGCGCGCGUUUUCUUUCGGGAUUGCGUUGUGCGGGUGUGGGGGGGAUGCGUGUGUUGCGUGUGUAUCUCCGGUGUAUCGAACACUCCAAGUCCACCGCUUAAUCAUGGGGCGAUGCGUAACAACAAAGGUCCUAUGAAUGAUACUCUUCUUAGAGGGAUUCACGGUUCUGAAGCCGUAAGAGACUGAGAGCAAUAACAGGUCUGUGAUGCCCUUAGAUGUUCUGGGCCGCACGCGCGCUACAAUGCCGGGCACAGAAGGUAUUCAUCCUUAUCCGAGAGGAUUAGGUAACCCUUUGAAAGCCCUCUCUCAUUAUCAAAGGACUUACGUUCGCGCGCGCGUUCUGCGUGUGCGUGUUCGUUUGUUCUCCGUGGCUUGCUUGGGCCUGGGGCUUGCAAUUCUUUCCCACAAACGAGGAAUGCCUAGUAGCGGCGGGUCACAGAGCCCGCUGUGACUCAGUCCCUGCCCUUUGUACACACCGCCGUCGCUACUACCGAUUGGGUGUACCAGUGAGAUCCUUGGACUGGCGAACCUUGCGCACAAGCAAUUGAGUGCAAGCGUGUACGACGGAAAGAGGCUCGAACUGGUGCACUUAGAGGAAGUAAAAGUCGUAACAAGGUUUCCGUAGGUGAACCUGCGGAAGGAUCAUUA